rnacentral:sRNA from 1 species
CUCCAGCACUUUCUCUGACCUCCAUGGGCACCAGGCACACAAACAAAGAUACAGGCAAACACAUAUACAAAUAAAGUAAAUCUGAGAACAAAAGCUGAGCAUCAUGGUACACCCAACACGGGGGAAGCAGAAGCCAGUUGGAGCUUGCUGGUCAGCAGCCUAACCUACCUCGAUACGUUGAAAGCUGAGCAUGGUGACACAGACCAACUACUCCAACUCUGAUGCUCCAACAGGAUUAUCAUGAGUAUGACUCCUACCGCUCUACAUGUAUCUUCAUACAUGUAAACUAUGUGUUCUGUAACUCUUUUUCACUAAAACAUUCAUAUGGAAAUUCUUAAUGGAUUUCACUAGGUGGUGGUGGCACAUACCUUUAAUCCCAGGACUCAGGAGGCAGAAAGUGGAUCUCUGGGUCUGAGACAAACCUGAUCUAUAGAGCAAGACCCAGGGAAGCCAAGACUAAACAGAAACCCUGUCUCCAAAAACUAAACCAACAACAAAGCAAAUUUUGAAAAGAAAAUAAAAGAAAGUUUAUGAAUUUCAACUAUAUUUAUGAAAUUCAACAUGUUAACAAACAGAAAGUAAACGGAACACACAUGAGAGACUUGCUGGGUUGUGCAAGUAGACCCAGAUCUAGGUGUUUUCCACAGAGUAAAAACUAUGUGAGAGGCUGGAGAGAUGGCUCAGUGGUUAAGAAUGUGUACCAUUCUCACAGAGGACCUCAUGGAGGCCCACAGUGACUCACAACCACCUGUAACUCCGGUGCCACCAGAGGGGUUAGAUGCCUCUGGCCUCCAAGCACACCAGAAUUCACGCAGCAGUAAACAUACACACACACACACACACACACAUACACACACACACCACACACACACACACACACACACACACACACAUACCUAAUUACAAAUAAAAACAAAUCUUUAAAAUCUACAGGGACGUGUACCUAGUGUGCAACUGCCUGGGUUCAAUACCUACCAGCAAAAGUCAAGCAAAACCAGACCCGCAUGGUGUAUGGAGUAAGAGUGAGUAUUCCCCACUUUGGACCAAGCACCUUUGCAUAUGCGUAUGGAAAAGGGUCCCAUUGUACUCCCCAAGCUGCUUUGAACAUAUUUUAUAGCCCAGAGUGGCCUCAAAUUCACCAUCCUCCUGCCUCAGCCUCCACAGUACUGGGAUUCGGGUAUACUCUACCACUCCUGGUCAACAACUCAGACUGUUGACAUGUGCAUAUCUGUCUUUUUUAUAAAGUAUUUGUAUUAAGUAGUUCCAGGUCAAUAAAUACCACAUUUACUCUUCAA